rnacentral:sRNA from 1 species
AGCUGAUGCUCAUUGCGGUUAUCCUCCCAGUACCUGCCGCCGCAGCUGUUCCCCUCUGGAGGUUAUAGAUCUCCACACUUCAUGGGCCGCGGGUUUCCAACGGCCCCUUUUU